UUGGAGGCUGUCGCUGGCUGGCAUAAAGCAUGUGCACGUCUCUUUCUCUUUCUCUACCUUUCUCUUUCUCACACACACACCCACCUUUGUGCAUCCAUUGUAGGCCCUCGAAAGGGGAUCUAUGUUUUAACUUAUCACCCAGUUGUAUGUCCAUAGAAUGUAUCCAAUAUUUUAUACAACUUUCAGCAACGGAUCUCUUGGCUCUCGCAUCGAUGAAGAACGCAGCGAAUUGCGAUAAGUAAUGUGAAUUGCAGAUUUUCAGUGAAUCAUCGAAUCUUUGAACGCACCUUGCGCCCCUUGGUAUUCCGAGGAGCAUGCCUGUUUGAGUGUCAUUGAAUUCUCAACCAUGCCUUGAUUGAUUUUGUGGUGUGGCUUGGAAAUUGGAAGUUGCCGGCGUUGAGAAAUCUUGUCGGCUCUUCUGAAAUUUAUUAGUGAUGGAUGGCAACAAGUCUAUACAUGCACGGUCUUUCGACGUGAUAAUGAUCGUUGUGGGCUGGAGUGGGAAUGGCUUUUGCCCAUUUGCUUCCAACAUUUUGGAAGACUCUUUGACUUUUGUUUCAGCUCGUAAAUGUUAGCUACUAGUUGGUCGCAAGACUAGCGAAUGCAACAGAAGCUUGCUUGAUCAAAGGUCUUUGGUCUACAACUUUUGAUGACUUGACCUCAAAUCAGGUAGGAACUACCCGCUGAACUUAAGCAUAUCAAUAAGCGGAGGNAAAGNNNCUAACAAGGAUUCCCCUAGUAACUGCGAGUGAAGCGGGAAGAGCUCAAAUUUUAAAUCUGGCGGUCUGACCGUCCGAGUUGUAAUCUAGAGAAGCAUUUUCUGUGCUGGCCCGUGUACAAGUCUCCUGGAAGGGAGCGUCAUAGAGGGUGAGAAUCCCGUCUUUGACAUGGACUACCAGUACUAUGUGAUGUGCUCUCAACGAGUCGAGUUGUUUGGGAAUGCAGCUCAAAAUGGGUGGUAAAUUCCAUCUAAAGCUAAAUACAGGCGAGAGACCGAUAGCGAACAAGUACCGUGAGGGAAAGAUGAAAAGAACUUUGGAAAGAGAGUUAAACAGUACGUGAAAUUGCUGAAAGGGAAACGCUUGAUGUCAGUCGCAUUGGCUGGGGAUCAACCUUGCUUUGGUGGGGUGUACUUCCUAGUCAAUGGGUCAGCAUCAGUUUUGCUCGCUGUACAAGGGCAAGGGGAAUGUGGCACUCUUUGGGGUGUGUUAUAGCCUUUUGUCGUAUGCAGUGGUUGGAACUGAGGAACUCGGCACGGCUUCGGUUUGUGUCUAGGAUGCUGGCAUAAUGGCCUUAAGCGACCCGUCUUGAAACACGGACCAAGGAGUCUAACAUGCCUGCGAGUAUUUGGGUGGUAAACCCAAGUGCGCAAUGAAAGUGAAAGUCGAGACCUCUGUCGUGGAGGGCACCGACGCCCGGACCUGAGUCUUUGAUGAUGGAUCUGCGGUAGAGCAUGUAUGUUGGGACCCGAAAGAUGGUGAACUAUGCCUGAAUAGGGUGAAGCCAGAGGAAACUCUGGUGGAGGCUCGUAGCGAUUCUGACGUGCAAAUCGAUCGUCGAAUUUGGGUAUAGGGGCGAAAGACUAAUCGA
rnacentral:misc_RNA from 1 species